GGGAGCUUGGAUGCAAACCUCCCAGGAGUGCGAAGGGGUCCCCCGAAGAGGAUCAAUCGGCCAACACGUUGCCCGUGAGGCACCGCAAGGGGGGGAAAAUUAGCAGGAGGAGAUCAGAGGAAGAUAAGCGAGGAGCGAGCCGCUUCCCCGAGACCUUCCACUGCGGAUCCGAAAGGGAACAUCAGACGCGUUAAUAAUAAUAAUAAUAAUAAUAAUCAUAAUAAUAAUAAAACCCAACAACAACAACAAAAACCAACCAAAAAAAAAUAAACCAAAACAAAACCAAAAACAAAACAAAACACAGCGUUCAAGCCAGCACAAGGCGAGCGAAAGAUCAAAAAGACGCGGAGAAAGAGAGAGGGAAACAGAUUAACUGGAGCAGAGCAGCAGCAACAACAACAAAAAUCACACUUAAAAUAAUACUAACAAUAAUAAUAAUAAAACCCAAACCACCAACAAGGGAGAUAUUGUUUAAAAAGAGCGAGCGAGGGAGCGAGCUGAAGAGCUGGUCUGACCGAGUGGAUCCGUGCAGCUUCUCCUGGGAUCGCCGGGAUCGAGCCGAGUCCCCGCUCCGCGGCCGCGCAGCGUGCGGUACCGCUGCCCGCGGCGGGGGGGCCGCGCCGGGCGCCGCCGCAGCAUCCUCGCCGGACUCCGGACUCUCCGCGCUGCUUUGAAAAUAAAAGCAUCUCGCUGCUAAUAAGCGGGGCGGUGGGGGGAGAAGACUCGCAACUGUGGAGCUACCAGCCGCGUACCCCCUCCCCGCCGCCCCCGGCCCCCUCCCCGGCUAGGCUCCGGGUCAACUUCGAUGGCACGUUGAGAGGCAGCGGGCGCUGAAGGAGGGACAACCGAGCGGCGCGGAGCGGAGCCGACCUGCUCAGAGACCUGCACCCACGGCCUGUGGAUUGUUGUCUUGCGGGGGCGGAGUGGGCGGGGGGGUACAAGUGGCAUUUCUCCCCCCCCCACCCUCCCCCUCCUUCCAGGCUAUAAAUUGGAUUGUAUAUAAA